GGAGAUCUUCAUGCAGCAGCAGAAACAUCUGACACAAAGUGCUCCAGAAAUUUUCAUGCAGCGUCAAGGACAGCCGAUGGCUGAAGGGGUCAGUCCUACCUCAUACUAGAAUUCAUAUUUACAAGCAGUAAACCUUGUUCCUUGUAUAUUAUCUCACUCAAAGUUUUACAGAAGUGGCCUCAAGUUUGCUAAACAAAUUGGGGUCAGUCCUACCUCAUACUAGAAUUCAUAUUUACAAGCAGUAAACCUUGUUCCUUGUAUAUUAUCUCACUCAAAGUUUUACAGAAGUGGCCUCAAGUUUGCUAAACAAAUUGGGGUUGUAUUCAUUGGCUUGGUUCUCUCUUAUU
rnacentral:lncRNA from 1 species